CCUACGGGUGACAGCAGUGGGGAAUCUUGCACAAUGGGGGAAACCCUGAUGCAGCGACGCCGCGUGAGUGAAGAAGUAUUUCGGUAUGUAAAGCUCUAUCAGCAGGGAAGAAAAUGACGGUACCUGACUAAAAAGCCCCGGCUAACUACGUGCCAGCAGCCGCGGUCAUACGUAGGGGGCAAGCGUUAUCCGGAUUUACUGGGUGUAAAUGGAGCGUAGACGGCAGCACAAGUCUGGAGGGAAAUGCCGGGGCUUAACCCCGGAGCCGCAUUGGAAACUGUGCGGCUAGAGUGCAGGAGAGGUGAGUGGAAUUCCAAGUGUAGCGGUGAAAUGCGUAGAUAUAAGGAGGAACACCAGUGGCGAAGGCGGCUUACUGGACUGUAACUGACGUUGAGGCUCGAAAGCGUGGGGAGCAAACAGGAUUAGAUACCCUGGUAGUC
rnacentral:rRNA from 1 species